rnacentral:rRNA from 1 species
GACGAACGCUGGCGGCGUGCUUAACACAUGCAAGUCGAACGUGAUUUUUGUGGAAAUUCUUCCGGGAAUGGAAAUGAAAUGAAAGUGGCGAACGGGUGAGUAACACGUGAGCAACCUACCUUACACAGGGGGAUAGCCGUUGGAAACGACGAUUAAUACCGCAUGAGACCACAGAAUCGCAUGAUAUAGGGGUCAAAGAUUUAUCGGUGUAAGAAGGGCUCGCGUCUGAUUAGCUAGUUGGAAGGGUAAAGGCCUACCAAGGCGACGAUCAGUAGCCGGUUUGAGAGGAUGAACGGCCACAUUGGAACUGAGACACGGUCCAAACUCCUACGGGAGGCAGCAGUGGGGAAUAUUGCACAAUGGGGGGAACCCUGAUGCAGCGACGCCGCGUGAGCGAAGAAGGUUUUCGAAUCGUAAAGCUCUGUCCUAUGAGAAGAUAAUGACGGUAUCAUAGGAGGAAGCCCCGGCUAAAUACGUGCCAGCAGCCGCGGUAAUACGUAUGGGGCGAGCGUUGUCCGGAAUUAUUGGGCGUAAAGGGUACGUAGGCGGUUUUUUAAGUCAGGUGUGAAAGCGUGAGGCUUAACCUCAUUAAGCACUUGAAACUGGAAGACUUGAGUGAAGGAGAGGAAAGUGGAAUUCCUAGUGUAGCGGUGAAAUGCGUAGAUAUUAGGAGGAAUACCGGUGGCGAAGGCGACUUUCUGGACUUUUACUGACGCUCAGGUACGAAAGCGUGGGGAGCAAACAGG